rnacentral:rRNA from 1 species
UUACCGGCUUAANUUUGCUAGAGUUCUUCGGCCAAGGUGCUGCAUGGUUGUCGUCAGCUCGUGCCGUGAGGUGUCAGGUUAAGUCCUAUAACGAGCGCAACCCUGUCUUAGUUGCCAGCAUAUGGGACUCUAAGAGACUGCCGGUGCAAACGAGAGGAAGGUGGGGAUGACGUCAAAUCAUCACGGCCCUUACGCCGGGCUACACACGUGCUACAAUGGUGGACAAGAGGCAGGGUGACCGGAGCAAUCUAAAACAAUCACAGUUCGGAUCGAAGUCUGCAACUCGACUUCGUGAAGCUGGAAUCGCUAGUAAUCGCAAUCAGAUGCGCGGUGAAUACGUUCCCGGGCCUUGUACACACCGCCCGUCAAGCCAUGGAAGCUGGGGACCGAA